rnacentral:rRNA from 7 species
UCUUGACCUCAAAUCAGGUAGGACUACCCGC